rnacentral:rRNA from 1 species
GACGAACGCUGGCGGCGUGCUUAACACAUGCAAGUCGAACGGAAAGGCCCUGCUUUUGUUGGGUGCUCGAGUGGCGCACGGGUGAGUAACACGUGAGUAACCUGCCCUUUACUUUGUGAUAACUUCAGGAAACUGGGGCUACUACCGGCUAGGAGCUCCUGCUGCAUGGUGGGGGUUGGAAAGUUUCGGCUGUAGGGGAUGGACUCGCGGCUUAUCAGCUUGUUGGUGGGGUAGUGGCUUACCAAGGCUUUGACGGGUAGCCGGCCUGAGAGGGUGACCGGCCACAUGGGGACUGAGAGACGGCGCAGACGGCUACGGGAGGCAGCAGGGGGGAAUAUGGCACAAUGGGGGGAAGCCUGAUGCAGAGACGCCGCGUGCGGGAUGACGGCCUGCGGGUUGUAAACCGCUUUCGCCUGUGACGAAGCGUGAGUGACGGUAAUGGGUAAAGAAGCACCGGCUAACUACGUG